UUGCGACGACAUCAAUUUGAAACAUCGAUUCCAGUAUAAUCACUGAAAUUAAGCAACGUCGAGCUUGGUCAGUACCUAGAUGGGUGACCGCUUGGGAAUAGCGGGUGCUGUGA